GUCUUGGAGAAACUAACAAAGUUAACCUAUUCUGGCUUAUUGGUCACAUAUUCAAGCUAUAGAAGCAUCCACUAAUACUUGCAUUAGGGUAGAUUGUCUACAUCACACCUUUAGGGUACUGCCCUUCCCUAAAUCUUGCGUGAAUUCGGGCUGCUUUACGCACUGAGUUGCCCUUUAUUGACAUCUUGUCUUUCGUAUAUGUGUGUUAUUUUACAGUGUCGAUGGAAGGUACAUAAAGUGGUAGUGAUGAUGAUAUUUCUUUAUCUGGGCUAACCGAUUUGGGCAUUGAGAUGACCCGACCUGUUCUUGGCAUGGCAACCCGAUAUGGCCUGUGAUUGCGAGUUUUGAAUCUUCUCUCGCACAUGAAACCAGUGUUUUGCAGCCAUGGCAUUGUUUGCUUCUUUUUUGCCUUAUCAUAGCACACAUCUGAGUCCCAUUUGCUUGAAGUUCAAAAAACAUUAUCUUUUCCAUGAUUUGAUGUUGGGAUAUGUCGAACCUACGACCUUCUGCCACAACUAAUAGAUUGCAAACCUAGUAACUCAAAAGGGUAGUGGUAGAAAUUUAACUGGAAUAGAAUUCAAAUCCUGCAUCUGCCUUUGGGUUUAUAUGCAUUUAUGUGUCUACCUCUGUUACACUAACAGCCUGUUUGGAUAGUUGUUCUCAUUGUAUUGUAUUGUUACUUUAAAUUGCUACACAAGAAAAACAUGAAGCAGAAAUCGUAAUGGGGUGAGAAAAAAAAUCUCAAUGGUCCCUUAUUUUAGAGUAGGUUUUAUAAUGGGGCUGUGAUGAUUGAUUUUUCGGAGUUUGAUGGAAUCAG
rnacentral:lncRNA from 1 species